rnacentral:tRNA from 1 species
AAUAAAAUGCCUGAAAAAAGGACUAUUUUGAUAGAAUAGAAUAUGUACUUAUGUACUUUUAUUA